rnacentral:rRNA from 1 species
GAUGAACGCUGGCGGCGUGCCUAAUACAUGCAAGUCGAGCGAACAGACGAGGAGCUUGCUCCUCUGACGUUAGCGGCGGACGGGUGAGUAACACGUGGAUAACCUACCUAUAAGACUGGGAUAACUUCGGGAAACCCGAGCUAAUACCGGAUAAUAUAUUGAACCGCAUGGUUCAAUAGUGAAAGACGGUUUUGCUGUCACUUAUAGAUGGAUCCGCGCCGCAUUAGCUAGUUGGUAAGGUAACGGCUUACCAAGGCAACGAUGCGUAGCCGACCUGAGAGGGUGAUCGGCCACACUGGAACUGAGACACGGUCCAGACUCCUACGGGAGGCAGCAGUAGGGAAUCUUCCGCAAUGGGCGAAAGCUUGACGGAGCAACGCCGCGUGAGUGAUGAAGGUCUUCGGAUCGUAAAACUCUGUUAUUAGGGAAGAACAAAUGUGUAAGUAACUAUGCACGUCUUGACGGUACCUAAUCAGAAAGCCACGGCUAACUACGUG